rnacentral:rRNA from 1 species
UACGUAGGGCGCAAGCGUUAUCCGGAAUUAUUGGGCGUAAAGAGCUCGUAGGCGGUUUGUCGCGUCUGCCGUGAAAGUCCGGGGCUCAACUCCGGAUCUGCGGUGGGUACGGGCAGACUAGAGUGAUGUAGGGGAGACUGGAAUUCCUGGUGUAGCGGUGAAAUGCGCAGAUAUCAGGAGGAACACCGAUGGCGAAGGCAGGUCUCUGGGUCGGCCCUGACGCUGAGGCGCGAAAGCGUGGGGAGCGAACGGG